AUGAAGUUAAGCAAAGGGCCUGCGCUGCCUUGUUAUCCUCUCUUUCAAAGCAGGCUGGCAGCCACGUGUGUGGUUGUGCAGCCUAACAGACACAGAUUGUCACCAGUCAGAGGAAAACAAGGCCUGGGAUUGCAAGAAAAAGCAAUUUAUUUCAGAGCUGGGUUUGGAGGAAAACUGCCAAAGUGCUCCUGUAGGCAAAAACAAAGCAAAGGGUCCUUAUUGGACAGAUCAGAAGUUAUCAAGUUACCUCCUCAUUUUGUACACAUAUGCAAAAUAGCCACCAAACAGGCAAGUGAGAAGCAGAGCUGGGAUGCAAAUCAGCAUCAACAUCAUGGGAUGUGGGUCUGUUGGCUGUGACAACCCUGGCAAAACCACAACUGCCUCAUGCCAAGCCUUUGAAAACAUGGAAUCAUCUGGAAGAGAUGAGGUAUAGGAAAUACAGAUCCCAAGUGAAGUCAGAAAUUUGUAGUCUAGAUCUGAGAAAAAUGUUCACUGAGAAUAAGCUGAUGGAAUGCUCCCAAUCACUUGCUGAGGCAGCUGCCCAAAAUGAUUACAUUUAUGUGAAAGUGCACACUAGCACAUCCCAGGAGCAAACAGUGGAUCUCCAGGAAGAAGAGUUGGGGGUAAUUGUUGCCAGACUAGUUCUUGGUUGAUUAGCCAAAAUAAAAAUAUCCUUUAGAAACCCA
rnacentral:lncRNA from 1 species